rnacentral:rRNA from 1 species
CAACGAGUCGCAAGCCGGUGACGGCAAGCUAAUCUCUUAAAGCCAGUCUCAGUUCGGAUUGUAGGCUGCAACUCGCCUACAUGAAGUCGGAAUCGCUAGUAAUCGCGGAUCAGCACGCCGCGGUGAAUACGUUCCCGGGCCUUGUACACACCGCCCGUCACACCACGAGAGUUUGUAACACCCGAAGUCGGUGAGGUAACCUUUUAGGAGCCAGCCCGCCUAAGGUGGGAUAGAUGAUUGGGGUGAAGUCGUAACAAGGUAAC